UCGGUCCGCUUUCGCUCUGCAACAGAGAGAUAGCGGAGAAAGCUGGAAGAGGCAAGAAGGCGAGCAUUGAUGAGCAAGAAUGCCUCCAGUGGCUCGACUCUAAGACACCUGGUUCAGUUGUUUACAUGUCCUUUGGCAGUGGAACUAACUUCACCAACGAGCAACUGUUAGAGAUCGCUGCUGGUCUUGAAGGCUCUGAACAAAACUUCAUCUGGGUGGUUAGGAAAAAUGAUAACAAAGGUAAUAUGGAUAACUCACUCAAAAUUUCAUUGUUGCUAUACCUCAUUUGAUAGCAUGGUGUUGACUGUUGAAUUACGUAACAAUUAUUUAUUGUUAUUUUUUGACUAAUUACAUAACAAUUAUGAAAUGAAACUUGGUGUUGAUGCGGUUUGGGACAGGUGAAAAUGAGGAGUGGUUGCCUGAAGGGUUUGAGGAAAGAACGAAAGGUAAAGGGCUGAUCAUACGCGGGUGGGCUCCACAGGUGCUUAUACUUGACCACAAAGCGGUUGGAGGAUUUGUGACGCAUUGCGGAUGGAACUCGGCUAUUGAGGGCAUUGCUGCUGGGUUGCCUAUGGUAACUUGGCCGAUGGGAGCAGAGCAGUUCUACAACGAGAAGCUUUUGACAAAAGUGUUGAAAACAGGAGUGAACGUGGGAGCUACGGAGUUGGUGAAAAAAGGAAAGUUAAUUAGUAGAGAGGAAGUUGAGAAGGCAGUGAGAGAAGUGAUAGUUGGUGAAGAAGCAGAAGAAAGGCGGGAACGGGCCAAGAAGCUAGGCGAGAUGGCUAAAGCAGCUGUUGAGGAAGGAGGAUCUUCUUUUAAGGAUUUGAACAAGUUCAUGGAAGAGGUGAAUGGUAGAAAGUAGAAUAGAGACAGAACAUGUGUUCAUGUUGUUUCAUGUUGUGAGGUGGGUUCUUAGCUUUAUUAGCUUUAGCUACUAUUGUUGAGUUAUGUUGAGAGAUAAGUCUAUAGUGUAAGAGCAUGUUUAUUGCUAAAACUUUAACUGUUGCUUAAGUGGUUCUUAAUGAAUUUUUAAGUAUUAAAAUUAAGCUAAAAUAAUGUUAAGAAACACUUAAUUAUAGUGGUUUAUUGGUAGUUGCUUAAUUUAAGGUUCUUAACAAUAAAAAAAUAUUAAAUUUAUUUUUAAACAUAAAAUUUCAGUUAAACAUAACAUUUUAAACAUAAAUUUUAAAAUACAAACAUAAAAUCAGGAAAACAAAAAUUACUAAAAAAACGAUAAUAAUUUGAAAGAGACAUCGAAGCUCAGUUGUUAUCUUGAUCACGUCCAAAUUUACGCCAUAUAUGUUCAACAAAAUCACAUUUCAGUUGUUGAUGCGCUUGUCUAUCACAAAUUCUUGUUCGAACACCUAUCUGAUUGGCGAUAUUUGUAGGGAUGUCUGUUGAAUAUGUGAGAUCGAUAUGUGAACUUCCGCUUCCUUCUCCUUGUUGAAAAUCAGAAACUUCGUAUUGAGUGUAGUCAUCUCGUUCGUUUUCUACUAUCAUACUAUGGAGUAUGAUAUAUGCUCUCAUAAUCUUUCCAAUCUUGACUUUAUCCCAAGAAAGUGCCGGAUUUUUAACAAUGGGAAAUCGAGCUUGCAAGACUCUGAAAGCACGUUCGACAUCUUUUCGGGCAGCUUCUUGACGUUGAGCAAAUAAAACUGCUUUAGGCCCUUGUGGAAUUGGAAUAGAUUAGAUAAAAGUUGCCCAUUUUGGAUAAAGAUCAUCGGUGAGAUAGUAAGCCAAAUGAUACUCUCUUCCGUUGACCGAGAAAUUCACUUGCGGAGCUUGACCAUUUAUUAUGUCAUCAAAAACAGGUGAGCGAUCAAGAACAUUGAUAUCAUUUAAGGUACCUGGAGGUCCAAAAAACGCAUGUCAUAUCCAAAGAUCAUAUGAAGCAACCGCCUCUAAAACGAUUGUCGGUUUUCCAGAACCACAAGAAUAUUGCCCUUUCCAAGCGGUGGGACAAUUCUUCCACUCCCAAUGUAUACAAUCGAUGCUUCCUAUCAUCCCGGGAAAUACACGAAGCUCUCCAAUAUGAAGUAGACGUUGAAGAUCAUCCUGUGUUGGUCUUCUUAGGUACUGAUCGCCGAACAAAUCUAUUACUGCUUCGACAAAAUUUUCCACACAUAACCGAGUAGUGGUUGCACCGAGCCUGAGGUAUUCGUCGACCGCAUCAAGCGCAGAACCAUAUGCCAACACACGAAUAGCUGCUAUACACUUUUGAAGUGUAGAGAUACCAAGCCUUCCGAGACCGUCCUUCUUCUGGCGAAAGAAUUGAACUUCAUUUGAAAGACGAUCAACAAUAUGCAUGAACAAUGGUUUGUUCAUUCGAAAUCGUCGUCGGAAUAGAUUUUAUGGAUACGUUGGAGCGUCACUAAAAUAAUCAUUCCAUAAUCGGAGAUGACCUUCUUCACGGUUUCUUUCGAUAAAAACUCUUCUUUUUCUUGUCUUCUCACCCAAAUUCUCAAAUGCUUCAUCGAAUGCUUCAUCGAAAGUUUGAUCAAAAUAUUGAUCGAAAUUUUCAUCCAUUGACUCUUCGAAAUUGUUAUGAGAAGAAGAUGUCAUGAGAUGAAAUUUUUUAAGAUUUUUAUAAGUGUGCUUGUGAUGAGAAUUGAGAGAAUGGACAGAAUUGAGAGAAUGAAAAAUAGUUUUUUAUAAGUGAAAAUUGUUAUGAAAACUUAAAGAGAAUUGAGGGAAUUGAGAGAAUGAGUGUGUUUGUGAUGAGAAUUUAAAGAGAAUGGAGGGAAUUGAGAUGAUGAGUGUGAUGGAUGAUAACUUGCAAGAAAUGAGAGAAUGAGAGAAUGAGAAAGUUAAAAAUACUAUAAGUGUGAUUGCGAUGAGUCAUUUUUAUAAAACUCUAGUGACAUCUCCGUGAUGCAAAAUAACAAGAGGGAAAUAAUACAAAACUCUCGUGUUUUUCUUGUUCUGUACAAGUCAGCCAUGAACAGAAAAAUACAAAACUCUUGUGACAGAAAAAUACAAUAGUACAAGUCAUUCACAAGACAAUACAAAACUCUCGUGUUCUUCUCUGCCUCCGGCUGUCGUGUUCUUCCUGCCUCUCCACUCUCGUGAUACAAGAGUACAAGCCAUCACCUCACUGCUGUCUACAAGAGUACAAGACAACAUUAUACAAAAACCAUUUGUUAAAUACAACUAAGCAACAACAAGAACAUCAGUGUCAUAGAACAAGAUCAGCAACAUUUAAGCAUUACAUUUAAACAACUAAGCAAAACAGAACAAGAACAUCAUCCGCUUACAACAAGAACAAGAACAUUUAAGCAUUACAGGAACUACAUUAAACAGAACAAGAACAAGUUUUAACGAAAUAGAACAAGCAAGAGAACAAGACAACUAGAAUCAGAACAAUUCAUUGAUGAGUUUUUUUUUUUGAGGGCUUCCUCAUACUCAGCCAAAUGUUCUUUUUUUUUUCAAUAAGACUCUCAAGCAGUCUCAUCUUAGAUAAGCGUUCUUUAGCUUCCAAAUCCUACGGUUUGAUUGUCCACAUAUUUUCAAACUUAUUCACAGUCUUCUCCUCAACAAACGUCAUCUUCCCACUCGCCUUUGAGGCUUUAACACCCGGUGGACGCUUCUUAGAAUCUGCUUGAGAUGCUGAAGAAUCUGCACCAUCCUCACAUUUUCUUUUUUUUAGAGGUUCCUUCGUCCUUAGCAGAUGAAAGCUCACACCACUUCUGGUCGUUCCUCAGCUCCUUCCAAGCAUGUUCAAUGAGGAAUUUCUUCUUAUGGUUGUUGUAAAAUAUUUGAUAAGCUAGUUUGAGCACAUCGUUUUCGUUUUGACCAGAAGUCUUCUCUCUGCUUGCAGCUUCAUAGGCUCCACAGAACUUGCAAACGAGAUCAUUGAUCUUGUGCCAACGGUGCUUGCAAUGACUACCCUCUCUCUGUUCGCAGCCACCAUCUUGACGACUUUCCGUAAAGUAAGCUGCUACUCUUGUCCAGAAAGUGCUUGACUUUUGCUCAGUGCUAUCUACUGCAUCUUUGCUCGUGUUUAACCACGAGCUGAUCAGCACAACAUCAUCCGCUGGUGUCCAUUUUUUUCUUUCUCUACGGUUAGCAGGAGUGUCUCUAACGAAGGCUGAAUCAGCUGUACCUUGACUGGCAAGAAAAGGAACUUGGGUUGAAGAGAGGUCGACACUAUCUUCAUAGGAUCCAAAGGCAAUAUCUUGUUGACUAUUGAGUAAAUCAACAAACUUUGGAUUCUGCAUAUAUGGAUAGGAAUCCAUAUACGAAGAUGAUAAAGAAGAGAAAAAUUAAAGACAAAAGGGGAGGAAGUGGGAAGAGAAGGCCCCAUGCGCUUGCUCAAGAAAGAGGAGAACGAGAGUGUUUAAUAGGAGUAAAUCCUCUGUUCUGUCUGAUCGAAUCUUCAAUAUUUUAUAAUUCUUUUCAUUCUGCUUUCUUUUGAUUGUCUGCAGCCAAACAUGACUAGCGAAGUCUCUGAGCGGAUUCAUGUGUGUUUCUUCCCCUUCAUGGCUCACGGCCACAUGAUUCCUAUUCUGGACAUGGCCAAGCUUUUCUCUAGCAGAGGAGCCAAAUCAACCAUCAUCACAACGCCAAGCAACUCUAAGAUCUUGGAGAAACCCAUUGAAGCAUUCAGAAACCAAAACCCUGGUCUCGAAAUCGGAAUCAGGAUCUUCGACUUCCCUAGCGUAGAGCUUGGAUUGCCUGAAGGGUGCGAGAACGUUGACUUCAUCACCUCAUACCAAAAGCCUGACGCAGGUGACUUGUUCUUAAAGUUUCUUUUCUCUACCAAGCAUAUGAAACAGCAGUUGGAAAGUUUCAUCGAGACAACCAAACCGAGCUGUAUUGUUGCCGAUAUGUUCUUCCCUUGGGCGACGGAAGCCGCAGAGAAGUUUGGUGUCCCAAGACUUGUGUUCCACGGUACAUCUCUCUUUUCCUUGUGCUGUUCUUACAACAUGAGGACUCAUAAGCCACACAAGAAAGUUGCUACGACUUCUACUCCUUUUGUAAUCCCUGGUCUCCCGGGGGACAUAGUCAUCACAGCAGAGCAAGCCAAUGUUGCUGACGAAGAGACUCCGAUGGGAAAGUUUAUGAAAGAGGUCAGAGAAUCGGAGUCAAUUAGCUUUGGUGUUCUGGUGAAUAGCUUCUACGAGCUGGAAUCGACUUACGCUGAUUUUUACCCUAGCUUUGUUGCUAAAAGAGCUUGGCAUAUCGGUCCGCUUUCGCUCUGCAACAGAGAGAUAGCGGAGAAAGCUGGAAGAGGCAAGAAGGCGAGCAUUGAUGAGCAAGAAUGCCUCCAGUGGCUCGACUCUAAGACACCUGGUUCAGUUGUUUACAUGUCCUUUGGCAGUGGAACUAACUUCACCAACGAGCAACUGUUAGAGAUCGCUGCUGGUCUUGAAGGCUCUGAACAAAACUUCAUCUGGGUGGUUAGGAAAAAU
rnacentral:lncRNA from 1 species